GUUAAUAUUAGAAUUCAUUAUCCAAAUGGAGUCUGCUUGUGUGGUAUAUCCAAUAUAUAAUUCCUUUUUGGAGGAUGGAUGACCAACAGGGAUGAACACUGGAUUUCAAGUUUCCUGAAGGCAGAAGUGGAAUGGUGUGGAUAUUUAAGUUUGAGCCAGUGCCUAAUACAUUACCUAGAGAAGAGCAGAGCAUUGAAGGAUCACUAAUCUGAUUUCUAAAGGUUUAGGUCUUGUUGUAGUUGGAUCAUAU
rnacentral:lncRNA from 1 species